UACGGGGGGGCAAGCGUUGUUCGGAAUUACUGGGCGUAAAGGGCGCGUAGGCGCCUUCUAAGUCAGACGUGAAAUCCCUCGGCUCAACCGAGGAACUGCGUCUGAUACUGGAAGGCUUGAAUCCGGGAGAGGGAUGUGGAAUUCCAGGUGUAGCGGUGAAAUGCGCAGAUAUCAGGAGGAACACCGGUGGCGAAGGCGGUUCUCUGGGCAUGUCCUGACGCUGAGGAGCGAAAGUGUGGGGAGCGAACAGG
rnacentral:rRNA from 1 species